rnacentral:rRNA from 1 species
CACAAGGGGUGAAGCCUGCGGUUCAAUUGGAGUCAACGCCAGGAAACUUACCAGGAGAGACAGCAGGUUGAGGGUCAGUCUGAAGAACUUACCUGACGAGCUGAGAGGAGGUGCAUGGCCGUCGCCAGCUCGUGCCGUGAGGCGUCCUGUUAAGUCAGGCAACGAGCGAGACCCCUAUCGGUAAUUGCUAACUGCCCAGAGAUGGGUAGAGGCUAGUUACAGAGACUGCCGUUGAUAAAACGGAGGAAGGAAGGGGCCACGGCAGGUCAGUAUGCCCCGAAACUCCUGGGCCACACGCGGGCUGCAAUGGUAGGGACAAUAGGUUCCGACCUCGAAAGAGGAAGGCAAUCCCCAAACCCUACCCCAGUUGUGAUCGAGGAUUGAAACCCGCCCUCGUGAAUAUGGAAUCCCUAGUAACCGCGUGUCAUCACCGCGCGGUGAAUACGUCCCUGCUCC